rnacentral:rRNA from 1 species
AACGAACGCUGGCGGCAUGCCUAACACAUGCAAGUCGAACGAAGUCUUCGGACUUAGUGGCGCACGGGUGCGUAACGCGUGGGAAUCUGCCCUUGGGUGCGGAAUAACUUCUCGAAAGGGAUGCUAAUACCGCAUAAUGUCGUAAGACCAAAGAUUUAUCGCCCAAGGAUGAGCCCGCGUAAGAUUAGCUAGUUGGUGGGGUAAAAGCCUACCAAGGCGACGAUCUUUAGCUGGUCUGAGAGGAUGAUCAGCCACACUGGAACUGAGACACGGUCCAGACUCCUACGGGAGGCAGCAGUGGGGAAUUUUGGACAAUGGGCGAAAGCCUGAUCCAGCCAUUCCGCGUGAGUGAAGAAGGCCUCGGUUGUAAG